rnacentral:rRNA from 1 species
AGCGAACGCUGGCGGCAGGCCUAACACAUGCAAGUCGAACGAAGUCUUCGGACUUAGUGGCGGACGGGUGAGUAACACGUGGGAACGUACCUUUUGGUUCGGAACAACUCAGGGAAACUUGAGCUAAUACCGGAUGAGCCCUUAGGGGGAAAGAUUUAUCGCCGAAAGAGCGGCCCGCGUUAGAUUAGCUAGUUGGUGAGGUAAAGGCUCACCAAGGCUACGAUCUAUAGCUGGUCUGAGAGGAUGAUCAGCCACACUGGGACUGAGACACGGCCCAGACUCCUACGGGAGGCAGCAGUGGGGAAUCUUGCGCAAUGGGCGAAAGCCUGACGCAGCCAUGCCGCGUGAAUGAUGAAGGUCUUAGGAUUGUAAAAUUCUUUUACCAGGGACGAUAAUGACGGUACCUGGAGAAUAAGCCCCGGCAAACUUCGUGCCAGCCGCCGCCGUAA